GAAGCCCGGUGCCGACGGCUCCUUCCCGGUGGACCGGGCGGAGGCGACCAGCGGCGAGAAGCUCCUCUGUGACGUCAUGAACGAGAACAAGAUCAAGCUCUACGCCGCAUACGUGGGCUCUGCUUUUCUUCUUCUUCAUUUGUGUUGUGCUGUAGCCUGCCUGACAAAGCGUGGUCUUGCUGUAUCGCUCGCAAGGCAAGGUGAUGAACUGCGGUGGCGGCGGAAGUUGUGGCACUUGCAUCGUCGAGAUAAUCGAUGGAAAGGAGCUCCUGAAUGAGAGGACGAGCACCGAGAAUCGAUACCUGAAGAAGAAACCAGACUCAUGGAGGCUAGCUUGCCAGACUAUUGUAGGCAACAAAGAGAACUCUGGCAAGGCAAGC